rnacentral:rRNA from 1 species
UACGGAGGGUGCAAACGUUGCUCGGAAUCAUUGGGCGUAAAGCGCACGUAGGCGGCCUGUUAAGUCGGAUGUGAAAGCCCCGGGCUCAACCCGGGAAGUGCAUACGAAACUGGCGGGCUUGAAUAUGGAAGAGGGUCGCGGAAUUCCCGGUGUAGAGGUGAAAUGCGUAGAUAUCGUAAGGAAGACCAGUGGCGAAGGCGAAUCUCUGGACAGUUACUGACACUGAGGCACGAAGGCCAGGGGAGCAAACGGG